UACGUAGGUGGCAAGCGUUGUCCGGAUUUAUUGGGUUUAAAGGGUGCGUAGGCGGCUUUGUAAGUCAGUGGUGAAAUAUGGCAGCUCAACUGUCAAGGUGCCAUUGAUACUGCGGAGCUUGAGUACAGAUGAGGUAGGCGGAAUUGACGGUGUAGCGGUGAAAUGCUUAGAUAUGUCAAGAACACCUAUAGCGAAGGCAGCUUACUAGGCUGUAACUGACGCUGAGGCACGAAAGUGUGGGGAUCAAACAGG
rnacentral:rRNA from 1 species